CAUAGUAAUGAGAGAGAGAGAGAGAGGGAGCGUUGAUCGGUCGAAACGAAACAAAGGAUUUUAGAAAAUGAAAGAAUUAAACCAAAAAUCAAGCUUGCUCAUUAAUCACUAGAGACCUCAUCUGACUGUAGACUGGAAAUAAAGAUGUCAGUUUGAAGAUGAAAGCAGUUUCGUCUCUGUGUUUUGGGAAGCCUUUGAGAAUUUAGAGAAUCAUUUUAGGAUUUUAAUAGAUUCAUUAUAUAUUCCCUCUUUUCCUUUUCCCUAAGGGAGGUUCAUACCCAAAAAUUUAAGCACAGAGGCGUUUUUGUCCAAAUAUUUUAUAAUUGACAAUAUGGAAAUAGUACUGUUAUUUGCCACAAAUGUUGCAACAAAAAAAAAUUCUCGAAAUCUCUGAUGCUCAUGCUAACUCCUGAUUCUUCUUCUGUUUUAGAGCGAGGGAUAUGUCCAGGAAGAAGAUACCAGAAGUGUGGCUGCAUCGUCUGUCAUGUCUGUGUUCCCCAGGAUUCAGUUGGAUCCUCUGGAGAAGGACUGGCUACGAUCCUGUGCCCUGGGGAACACAGCUGCUCUCCGACAGCUCCUCACACAGGACUCCAGCCUGGCCUCAAAGAAGGACUUCAUCACUGUAAGUAGCCUCCAAUAUUUCUCCUACCGUCCUCCCUUCCUCUUUCACUGGCCCUAACCUAUCUGUUACGUUGCUAAUUCACACAGAAAAGUAGUCCAGAUACAGUAGCUUCGUUUUUUUGUUUUAUUUCUGCAGUUUGAUGUUUUACCAAAAACAAAUACGUAAUACCUUCUUGAAUAGUCAGUACUUUGCCAAACUGUACAGAUGAAGAGGAAACUUAGUGUGACAUCAACAUAUUAAGUGUAUACCCUCUACUCUUGGCUUCCCUGUGGCUCAGUUGGUAGAGCAUGGUGUUUGCAAAGUCCGCAUGGUGUUUGCAACGCCAGGGUUGUGGGUUCGAUUCCCACGGGGGGCCAGUAGGAGAAAAAAAAAAGAAAUGUAUGCAUUCACUACUGUAAGUCGCUCUGGAUAAGAGCAUCUGCUAAAUGACUAAAAUGUAAAUGUAAAUGGCCUCCUUGAUUUACCCAGUGAGUAAUGGGGAAACAGGCGGUGGACUCUAAAGACACAGGUUUAAAUUCUUCAGACCCCCACUAAAUAUACUGCAUUCUCUCCAGUGUGCAUCGACAGCCCCUCUCCUCCACCUAUUGGCUAACACGUCUGUAUUCAUUUCUAUCUGACCGGUCUGCUGGCUUGUUAAAUCAAUCCCUCCCUUCCCACUGAAACUCUGGCGUUAGAGUUGAGCACUUACAAAACAAUGGUCUUAAGGAAAUCAGACACUUCAGCUACAACAAAUAAGCAGUUAGUAAACUUCUUAGCAUAGCGAAUUAAAAUGAUGGAGGAUGGAGAGAUGUAGGGACAGAGAGAUGUAGGGAGAUAGAGGGAUGAAGGGAAAGAGACUCCCCACCUUUAUCAGAGGGACAUGAGAGCCAGAUUAGAGAAGAACAUGUGACAUAAAGGACGGGUUAUCCCCGUUUCCAAAACGUAUGAUUCUAUCCAAGAUUAAAGGUGGAAGGUGUUAAAAAAUCUCAACAACCAGCUGUUGUGAACCAUGAUAGGAUGAAUUUUGUAAAUGAUUCAAACGAUCAAAUAAUACAUAAUUGACAAAUUCUGCAGACAAAACUGAACACAAACAAGGAGUUAAUAUUUCUGACCACAACCUCAGGGAGUGUCCAGGAUGUAACUUACUCCUAUAGGAAUGACAUCUUAUACUAUAACAAGCACCAUAAUAUUCAAUAUUCUCUUUCU
rnacentral:lncRNA from 8 species